GGUCCGGCCAUGGUGGCGGUGAGGAGCUUCCCACCCCGCCGGCGCAGGGGGGACCGCGGGUGGAGGCGCUGCUGGCGCGGAUCCGGGCUCUGCACCAAGCCUGCCAGGCCCGGGCGCAGGAGCUGGCGGAGGCUCAGGGCCACAGCGAGGAGCUGCGGCGGCACCUGGAGCAGCGUGAGUCCCCGGGGGGCCAAAAUCCAAGGGGGGGACCCCGAAAUCCACGGGGGGGAUCCCAAAAUCCAAGGGGGGGACCGUAAAAAGCCAUUGGGGGAGACCAAAAUCCAUGGGGGGACCCCGAAAUCCAUGGGGGGACCCCGACAUCAGU
rnacentral:lncRNA from 1 species